rnacentral:rRNA from 1 species
GGUUACAGCUGUACCACUCUGAAAAUGUCGGAAUCUGGUCUUAUCCCAAAAACUAAGCAGAUUUGGGCCUGGUUAAUAAUGGAUUGGAGAACACUAAGAAUAUCAGGUGCUGUAGUGG